GGGGGUGUAGCUCAGUUGGCUAGAGCGUUUGAAUGGCAUUCAAAAGGCCGCGGGUUCAAUUCCCACCACCUCCA
rnacentral:tRNA from 1 species